rnacentral:sRNA from 1 species
UAUUCUGCCCCAUGGGGAAGGAUGAGAAGCUUCGACUAAGGUUCGACUCGAGCGCAGCGAGAGAACGUUGCCGCAGGCAAGGCCCGAAGGGCGAGGCGCUUUAGCGCCGAGUAAUCCUUCCCCCACCACUG